rnacentral:rRNA from 1 species
UACAGAGGGUGCAAGCGUUAAUCGGAAUUACUGGGCGUAAAGCGUGCGUAGACGGUUAUGUAAGUCAGGUGUGGAAAGCCCCCGGGCUCAACCUGGGAAUGGCAUUUGAGACUGCAUAGCUAGGGUGCGGAAGAGGGAAGCGGAAUUUCCGGUGUAGCGGUGAAAUGCGUAGAUAUCGGAAGGAACAUCAGUGGCGAAAG